AGCUUUGCGCAGUGGCAGUAUUGUAGCCAGUGAGGUUUAUCCACGGCGCGAUUAUCGCUAACUGAAAACUUUUCCCAAUACCCCGCCAUGACAACUUGCAAUAUAGUCAGCAUUGGCAAUUUUUGACAGUCUCUAUGGAGA
ensembl:snRNA U4 U4 spliceosomal RNA